rnacentral:rRNA from 1 species
GACGUAGGGCGCGAGCGUUGUCCGGAUUUAUUGGGCGUAAAGAGCUCGUAGGCGGCUCGUUGCGUCGGCUGAUGAAAACCCGCAGCUCAACUGUGGGCUUGCAGCCGGAUAACGGGCGGGCUGGGAUUCGGUAGGGGAGACUGGAAUUCCUGGAUGUAGCGGUGAAUGCGCAGAUAUCAGGAGGAACACCGGUGGCGAAGGCGGGUCUCUGGGCCGAUAUCGACGUGGAGGAGCGAAAGCCGUGGGGAGCGAACAGG